rnacentral:rRNA from 1 species
GGAUUAGAUACCCUGGUAGUCCACGCCGUAAACGAUGCACACUAGUUCGUGGGACCUCUCAUGGUUUCGCGGGCGAAGGUAAACUGUUAAGUGUGCCGCCUGGGGAGUACGGUCGCAAGGCUAAAACUCAAAGGAAUUGACGGGGGCUCACACAAGCGGUGGAGCAUGUUGCUUAAUUCGAGGCAACGCGAAGAACCUUACCUGGGCUUGACAUGUAUGGAUUAGCUCUUGGAAACAAGAGUGACGCCCUUGGGUGGAACAUACACAGGUGCUGCAUGGCUGUCGUCAGCUCGUGCCG